rnacentral:rRNA from 1 species
UACGAAGGGGGCUAGCGUUGUUCGGAUUUACUGGGCGUAAAGCGCACGUAGGCGGAUCUUUAAGUCGGGGGUGAAAUCCUGGAGCUCAACUCCAGAACUGCCUUCGAUACUGGGGAUCUAGAGUCCGGAAGAGGUGAGUGGAACUCCUAGUGUAGAGGUGGAAUUCGUAGAUAUUAGGAAGAACACCAGUGGCGAAGGCGGCUCACUGGAUCGGUACUGACGCUGAGGUGCGAAAGCGUGGGGAGCAAACAGG